GUGGGUGCGGCGUUACUAUGGCUACGUGUUGUGUGUUGUUAUUUGGGAAGGCGUGUUUUAACCACGAUAUUUACGCCUUUCGUCUCUGGCCCCAUCUGUUUCCCGUCUUGAAGCUGUGUGGAUCACAUGGUCUACCAGUCAUUGCAGCUCUUCUUUCUCUCAGUGUUUACCAGCACGGAGAGGGGCACGGCACGCAAGAUAUCGGUCUUGCUGAACAAGCUGCUUCAGCCGACCAAGCUUUCCCGCACUCCUCCGUGCAGACAUAGUAUAGUGGCAGGUAACCGAGUGUUUGAGCAUCCCAUAAGCAGGAGCGAUUUUACAUCGAAGGGCGAGUGGUGAGGUGGGCAAAGGAGGUAGUGGGCCAAGAUCUGAGGAACAGCAGAAUGGGGUGGGCUGUAGAGAAAGUGAAACGGGAACUGGAGGUGCAACACUCGGUAACAAGUAAGUCAGAAAAAGUCUGAAGGACAUAUUGUGUGACUGGUGACUUUUACUUUGCUACUAACAGCAGACUUUUUUUAUGUUUUCUUUUGUUGCUGGAGCCCAGGCUCCUUCUGUAUUUCUCAGCUUCUCGGUUGGCUAAAAGUGGUUUAACUAACUUAUACAGGCAUAUUUUAUAAGAGCAAAAGCUAUAUAGCUUCUAACAGAACCUCUGACUUGUGUUGUGAUUUUGGGUCUUCUAAAUUAUAUGCUGGUCUGUGGGAGUAACAUAGCUAAUAUGUCACAGUUGUUGUAAUUAGUGCUGGCAGAAUGCGAUCUGUUACAUUUCAUUUGUGUAAAAUGUAUUUGAAGGGAUUCACUUAGGGAUCUAUUUAUUGAAUUAUAUGAGCUUUUACUUACAUUAAAUUUGAAGCUGUGGCAUGACUAGUUAUUGGGAUUAAUAUGUCUAUGAAGAUUUUCAUUCAUCCAGGUCAUGGUAUAUCUAGUAUAAAUAAAUCUAAAGCAACUGGACUUGUUAAGAAAGACUUGUUUCUUAACAAGUCCAGUUGCUUUAGAUUUAUUUAUACUAGAUAUUGGGAUUAAGACAUUUACUAUUAACAUAUAUUGCAGCUGUUUAUCAGUCAAAUAGGGCACCCUAUAGUUCCUAGAGGGCAGAGUACUGUAUAGUUCCUAGGCAUUUGCAGGGUAUAUUUUCAUAUACACCUCUGCUUUUCAGUACAAUGAUUGAUAAAUAGUAACACAUCCACCACCGAGCCUUUGGCACUUGAGUAAAGAUUCACAUUUUUUUCAAAACAACCGGUGUGCUGCUGUUUUCAUCAUUUUUACAUCCACCAAGUUCAACCUUCUGUCCUAUAAAAACCAACCUACCUACUUGCUAUUUGAUUGUGUAGUGCACUCAAGGGAAGUGGCCAAAAAUGUAUUCCUUUCUUGUUUUCAUAUGGGGGCCCAUAUAAAUAGCUUCUAUGCAGUGCAUAUUACAUUUUGCAGGGGACCAUAAAAAAAUUGGUAAAAUAGGGGAAAAUGUAAAUUCAGGGUAGUGCUGGAAAACUUAAAAUUAUUGUUUCAAUUUAUUUAUUUCCCUCUCAACCCAAAGCCAAGGUAUUUGAAAGAUACUGGGUGAGGGCCUCAUAAUUUUUUUUUGUUAACAUUUCUCCAAACGCUUAAAAAAAAAAAAACAAACAAAAAAAAAAAAACAGUGAGAAGGUUUGGUAGGUUGUAGGUGGGCAGGUAAACCAAUAAUUUAUAGACACUAAAUUCACCUAUACAUCAAAACAGGAUUGAUGUACCUGACCUCUCUAACCUAUUAUCAUAAAAUAUGACAAUUCCUGCAGAUAUGUUUUAAAAAUAACAAUUGAUUAGCAACCAAAUAUUAGAUAUAUAUACCUAAUAGCUAAGUAGUUGAAUUGGACUCUGUCCUUGUACACCAGAAAGAGAGGUUUAUUUCAAAAGCAGUUUUUCUUAACUUUUAGGCUGAUGGCCCACAGAGCGAGUUAGUCGCCCACGAUAGAUCUCUGCUACCGCUGGCGACCAACUGCUACAAAAUGCCUUUCCACUGGCAACAAUAGGAGUGGUGUAAAGAACUAUGGUAUGGCUUCAGCUUUCCGAAGUCACACAAAGUGAAUGCAUAGGCCUUUCCACUGGUGACUCCUAUUGUUGCUUGUGGAAAAGCAUUUCGGAGCGCUUAGUCACCAAGGAUAGCAGAAAUCUGUUGUGGGUGAUUAACACGCUCUGUGGCCCAUCAGCCUUAUUUCAGUGACCCAAACUAAGGGGCACAUUUAUGAUUGCUUGAGCAAUUGUAAAUGUGCCCAUAAGUCUCUAAAUCGGUUUUGGGAGCCAAAAUUUAGUUCACUCCUGAUUUUCCACCUCAUUUUAAUACAUUUUUUCUAUGGCCCCAUUAUCAAAGGACAGGGCUAAUUUUUAUUUCCAAACUCCCUGUCCUAAAGUUUGGUUAUAAAAAGGAAAACCACACAAUGGUACAAUUUUGCUAUCUCCAGAGAACCUAUGUUACCUCCAACAGAUUAUACCAAAUCAACCAAUCUAUACCUGAUCUAUGCACGGUAUGUAAUUACUUCUAAGCUACACCCAUGUACAUGAUUUUGCUCAGCCCUAAUAUGCAGAUGUUUUGGAGGUGUGUAGUGGAGGAAAACUCAGAAAUACUUUAUAGACCAAUACACAUGGAACCACUACUACUUAACUUGGUAGAUUUUAUAUUGCAGCUUGGCAUUAACAUUGUGAAGUUUUGUUUGUAUUAUGAACAUAUGGCCUGUAACUUUCCCAUAAUUUGUUUUCUUCUAUGUUUUAUGUAUUUGAACACCAAUACAAAAAAACAAUUGUCCAGAAAAGAAAACUGACAACCGUUCACACUGUAAUUACUGUAACUUCCUAUCCAUGGCAGAAUUUAGCUAAUUUCAAUAAGACUGAAAAAGACCCACUGGUAUAUGUAUGAAACAAUUGAGUCAGACUAAAGGGAAGCAAACACACUUCCUUUUUGGAUCAAGGGUGGUUGCGGGCAGAAUGUUGCUCUCAGCCCAGUACCCUGGGGUGAUGUUAUGCCCACUUUCCCCUCGAGGAGUCUAUAUUAAUAUUCUUUUUCCACAAUGAACAAAAAGUACACUUUGAAACAACUGUUAAAAAAGAGAGAGAAUGAAUGUGGCAUUGUUUACAGUGAAGAAGAGGAGCUCAACGUGAAUGAUCACUUUGAAUGAACUAUCUGGAAGACUUUCUCAAAAGGACACAACUGCAACUUGAAGGACAUGUCUUUUUUUUUUUUUUUAAAUGUAAAAUGUUAAAAGAAUACUGUCAUGGGAAAACAUGUGUUUUUCAAAAUGCAUAAGUAAAUAGAGCUUCUACAGCA